GAUGAACGCUGGCGGCGUGCCUAAUACAUGCAAGUCGAACGCGAGCACUUGUGCUCGAGUGGCGAACGGGUGAGUAAUACAUAAGUAACCUGCCCCGGAGCGGGGGAUAACAUUUGGAAACAGAUGCUAAUACCGCAUAACAACAAAAGCCACAUGGCUUUUGUUUGAAAGAUGGCUUUGGCUAUCACUCUGGGAUGGACCUGCGGUGCAUUAGCUAGUUGGUAAGGUAAUGGCUUACCAAGGCGAUGAUGCAUAGCCGAGUUGAGAGACUGAUCGGCCACAAUGGAACUGAGACACGGUCCAU
rnacentral:rRNA from 1 species